GCCUGCAGUGAGUGUCCUGUGACUCAGGUGGAUGUGUGGGCUCGGGCAGAGCCACGUGCUGAUGGGGCUGCAGGGCGCUGAGCUGCGGUGGGCUGGAUGCCGUGGGGUCAGCACAGCCAUGCUGUUUCUCUGCUGUGCAGUUGCCUAAGAGAGAAUACACACUUUGGCUUUCUGGAAGUGCGUGUGGAUUCACCUGAACACAGUUCUGAAAGAGGAAACGAUCAUCUGGAUGCAGUGAACUCAUGCUCAUAACAACUGAGUGGAAAUUCGCUUAUGCUAUUGAGUAUCAUGGAGCACUGCACCAGACAACACAGGUAAGAAUUUAACCUUUUAAGAGAGUAGCCUCUUGGACUUUAAUACUGUCUUCACAGUCUUUGCAAAUUGCCA